GCUAUAAUGCAGUCGAGCGGACAGAUGGGAGCUUGCUCCCUGAUGUCAGCGGCGGACGGGUGAGUAACACGUGGGUAACCUGCCUGUAAGACUGGGAUAACUCCGGGAAACCGGGGCUAAUACCGGAUGCUUGAUUGAACCGCAUGGUUCAAUUAUAAAAGGUGGCUUUUAGCUACCACUUACAGAUGGACCCGCGGCGCAUUAGCUAGUUGGUGAGGUAACGGCUCACCAAGGCAACGAUGCGUAGCCGACCUGAGAGGGUGAUCGGCCACACUGGGACUGAGACACGGCCCAGACUCCUACGGGAGGCAGCAGUAGGGAAUCUUCCGCAAUGGACGAAAGUCUGACGGAGCAACGCCGCGUGAGUGAUGAAGGUUUUCGGAUCGUAAAACUCUGUUGUUAGGGAAGAACAAGUACCGUUCGAAUAGGGCGGUACCUUGACGGUACCUAACCCAGAAAAGUCACGGCUAACUACGUGCCAGCAGCCGCGGUAAUACGUAGG
rnacentral:rRNA from 1 species